CUCAUACUCCCUCCGUCCUAGAAUUCUUGUCUUAGGUUUGUCUAUAAAUGAAUGUAUCUAAAUACUAAAACGUGACUAGAUGCAUUCAUAUCUAGACAAAUUUAAGACAAGGAUUUUGGGACAGAGGGAGUACCUU
rfam:Hordeum vulgare subsp. vulgare, WGS project CAJW01000000 data, contig: morex_contig_287143